CUUUUCUCUCUGUUAACAUUAAAAUGAAUGAAUAAACAAAAUUGCUAUCAGCUCAGUUUUGUUCUAUUUUUUUUAACUCUCUCUUCUUAUGCAUUAGUUCAGGAAGGAGGUGAAAGGAGCAAUUAUGGAAGGUGGAAUUCCAUUCAACAGGGUUUAUGGCAUGCAUGCCUUUGAGUAUCCAGGCAAAGAUCAAAGGUUUAAUGAGGUGUUCAACAAAGCUAUGACGAACGACUAAAUGACAUUGUUGGGAGUGCAUAUUAUAUUGCACCAAAGGUACUUCACAGGUCAUAUAGUGUGGAAGCAGAAAUAUGGAACCAGAGGUACUAUGGAGCGAGCAACAGAGUAGUGUAAUCUUUUUUUGAUAGAAAUUUUAUGUAUUAAGAGUUACAUGUUAAAGAGAUUUAUAAUUAAAAAA